rnacentral:rRNA from 1 species
AUGCAGUCGAACGCGAAAGGGACUUCGGUCCUGAGUAAAGUGGCGCACGGGUGAGUAACGCGUGGAUAAUCUGCCCAAUGGACUGGGAUAACAUCUCGAAAGGGGUGCUAAUACCGGAUAAGACCACGGAGUCUUCGGACUCUGCGGUAAAAGGUGGGGACCUUCGGGCCUACCGGCAUUGGAUGAGUCCGCGUACCAUUAGCUAGUUGGUGGGGUAAAGGCCUACCAAGGCGACGAUGGUUAGCUGGUCUGAGAGGAUGAUCAGCCACACUGGAACUGAGACACGGUCCAGACCCCUACGGGAGGCAGCAGUGGGGAAUUUUGCGCAAUGGGGGAAACCCUGACGCAGCAACGCCGCGUGAGUGAUGAAGGCCUUCGGGUCGUAAAGCUCUGACAGAGGGGAAGAAAUGUAGCGGUGCUAAUAUCGCCGUUACUUGACGGUACCCUCAAAGGAAGCACCGGCUAACUCCGUGCCAGCAGCCGCGGUAAUACGGAGGGUGCAAGCGUUGUUCGGAAUUAUUGGGCGUAAAGCGCGUGUAGGCGGUUUGUUAAGUCUGAUGUGAAAGCCCCGGGCUCAACCUGGGAAGUGCAUUGGAAACUGGCAGACUUGAAUACGGGAGAGGGUAGUGGAAUUCCUAGUGUAGGAGUGAAAUCCGUAGAUAUUAGGAGGAACACCGGUGGCGAAGGCGGCUACCUGGACCGAUAUUGACGCUGAGACGCGAAAGCGUGGGGAGCAAACAGGAUUAGAUACCCUGGUAGUCCACGCUGUAAACGAUGAGUACUAGGUGUUGCGGGUAUUGACCCCCUGCAGUGCCGCAGCUAACGCAUUAAGUACUC